rnacentral:rRNA from 1 species
GAUGAACGCUGGCGGCGUGCCUAAUACAUGCAAGUCGAGCGAACGGACGAGAAGCUUGCUUCUCUGAUGUUAGCGGCGGACGGGUGAGUAACACGUGGAUAACCUACCUAUAAGACUGGGAUAACUUCGGGAAACCGGAGCUAAUACCGGAUAAUAUUUUGAACCGCAUGGUUCAAAAGUGAAAGACGGUCUUGCUGUCACUUAUAGAUGGAUCCGCGCUGCAUUAGCUAGUUGGUAAGGUAACGGCUUACCAAGGCAACGAUGCAUAGCCGACCUGAGAGGGUGAUCGGCCACACUGGAACUGAGACACGGUCCAGACUCCUACGGGAGGCAGCAGCAGGGAAUCUUCCGCAAUGGGCGAAAGCCUGACGGAGCAACGCCGCGUGAGUGAUGAAGGUCUUCGGAUAGUAAAACUCUGUUAUUAGGGAAGAACAUAUGUGUAAGUAACUGUGCACAUCUUGACGGUACCUAAUCAGAAAGCCACGGCUAACUACGUG